AAUCAUCCCUGUAUAAAUACUUUGAUUAGAUCAUUUGCUUUCAAGACUAAAAAAAAUGGGAAGAGAAAAAAUCUUGGUGUUAUUGCCCUCUGGACUGACAUAAGGGUGUAACAUCUCCCACCCUGCUCAAUGCUAACCCUGAGGUAGCUGUGAGAAUAACUUAUUCCUUUUUUUGUUUUUAAUAAAUUUAGUUAUUUAUUUUUGGCUGCGUUGGGUCUUCGUUGCUGUGCGUGGGCUUUCUCUAGUUGUGAUGGGGAAACUGAGACCUGGAAAGGUUGAUUUGCCCAAGGCUGUACAGCUAGGAACUGGAAGACCUAAAAACCAGAGCUGGAGGAGGAUUCACUGGUCCUGAGCGUGCUGUCUCAUUGGCUGAUGGAGGCGUCUGUGCCGAUGAUUAGACACGAACAUAUCUGAGCACAUGAAGGCUGAGUGCAUUUCCAAAUCCACGUAGCUGAGAAGGCACUGAUCUGCGAUUCCAUGCCUGAUGCCUUUCCACUGCCCCAAGGUGGGGAAGCCGGGCCAUCAGAGUGUAAAAUUUUCUUUUUGCUCCACCAAAUGAGAGGUGGCACUCAAUCUGGUCCUCAUAGAAAUGCUGUUAUAAGGCAGGUCCCGAACAGCUCGGCAAUUACCAGGGAGAGGGUAUAAUUUGGGGAACUCAGCCUGGGUGGGCUUUAUUCUGGAAAUCUCACUUGUGAUUAACUCUACUAUUAUCAGACAAGAUUACGUGUGGGAACCAGAAGCAGUUGGUUUUGACUCUGUUCCUGGCUCAGAGUCAUGCUGUACUCUGUGCUCCUCGGGCUACUCCCCGGAUUCCACGUCUGAGGCCACUCACUCUCCCUAAGCUCAGUGUGAAAGCUGCCAAGUGAAACUCGGGCAUCACGUCCCCGUGGUGACCACUGCUCUCCAGGUCCCACGGUGGCCACGCCCCUUCCUCCCCAGGGCAAUGCUCCGGCCCUGGUGUGGGCUGUGCCGGAGCCGAUGGCCUGGGCCGUGACUCCAGGUGGGAAUCUCAGUUGCAGCUUUGGUGAAUGGCUAUUUCACCUCUGAUUUUUACCCCAAAACACCGACUUUUUCUAUCUCAGUUUCUUAAUCUAUAAAACGGGUGUUUGAGCAGCUGCCAUAUUACCACAUAGCAGCUGUGAUAUUCUAGGGGGUAACACGGAGACCCACACGGUGGGCUCCUGCUCUGAGCUCUGCGUUAUCUUAUUUGUUCUUCAAAACCACCCUCUGGGUAGAUAUUCUUACCCCCAUUUUACGGAUGGAGAAAUUUUGACAUGGAGAGAUUUAGUAACCUGGUGAGAAAUUGAAACAGAGCAGCCCCUGACGUUUGGAAGCUAGACUCCCAUUCACAGCCAGCGGUGCUCUUCUCCUGUUGGACAUAAACAAUCUCACAGGAUACCAGCCUCUCACAGGGCACCCUGAGACCAGGCUAAGAUGGACCCAGCAAGACCUCCUUGUAGUUUUGUCUAAGCACAGACAAAAACACCGCUGUGCCACCCACAAAAUACCUCUGCCCCUGUGUCCCGGAAGAGUGACGGCAGCUUCUUUACAGCGUGAUCCUCGACGUAGCCCUCCUUGUAGAAAGAUUUACUGAGAUACCCAGUCAUAGACUUGUUCCACUUUCUAACAACAUCCAAACUCCCACUUCCUUAGACCCCCCCCCCGCACCCCAAGCCGCCCAACAAAAUCCAAACCCUGUAAUUGGUUCUUUCUAACACCCUCUUACUGGGACACCCCUGGUGUGCGUUCUCUCUUGCUGCAAUGAGGAAUAAACCCAACUUGUUCAACUACAGGUGUGAUCCUGGUGGAUUUCCUGGAGGGCGCUGACCCUUGUCCAGGGUCCCGCAGUUGAUGAAGGAUGAAGACAGGAUUUAAACUGAGGAAUCAGACUUUUCUGAUUCCAGAGCCUGUGCAGUACCAUAUGGGACUUCUAGUCUAGGAGAGCGGUGAGAACGAGUAAUCUCAGCCCGGUCAAGUGCUUCAAGCUCUCAAGGGAAACUCACAAUCAGAUGGAGGAUCAAAGCUCUGGCAUCCACUCCUGGUGGCCUUGACACCCUGAACUUCCCAUAUGCGCAGGAAUCACCCCUGCUUGAUGGUUUUCUACAUGCUGACUGUUGGAAAGAGGAAACAGUGAAUGCAAACACUUCUAACCUGUCAUGUGGUCAUACCCCUUGGACAGGCCACCAGAAGGGGGACGCCCACGGCCUGCAGAGUGAAUGCCCCACCCGCCUCCAAGGCCAACCUCUUGGUGCCUGACACAUGGAGGCUGCCAUGUGCUCUGCUGGUGAGGACAGCCAAAACCCCUUCCCAGUAUUGUCCUUUGUUCCUGACGAUGCCUACAGCAGUGUCUUUGAUCCCAGCAGGACACUGGCCUGAGAUGUAAGGAGAUGACUAGCCAUCCUCACAGACCCCUAGAGCCCAGCGGUCCAUAUACUUGAUGGCUCUUGACCCAGACUUUGGCAUAGCUCCCACCUGAGAGCAUCUGGUACCAAUACCAGGGAAUCACCCUUGACGCUGCAGCUGCUAAAGUAACGACAAUUACUGUGGUCACCGUUUACCAGCACCAUUUGUAGUACUAUGCCAGGACAUUUUCUAUACUUCUGUGAUCCUCAUAAAAAACCCUAUAAGGUGGAUAUUAUAGGUGGAUUUUACAGAUGGAGAAGCUGAGACUCAGAAAGUUUGAUACUAAUCUAAGCUGACAGAUUGUAAGUGGCAGGGCCAAGAUGUGGCUCGAGAUCUGUCUCCCAGCCACUCUACUGCUUCCUCCUCUCUGGUCUCUGAGCAUCCGGCUGUCCUACUUGCACCCGGGUGCCUGCACAGAUCAUUCGAGACCAUGGUGGUUGCUAUGCUCCACCCGACCCCCACUCAGGACAGAAGGACUUCACCCCCAGUUACUGGGACUGCAGCUGGCCGACGGCCUCUUUGGGAAUCGCCCUCUGCUCAAGGCAGCAGCCUUGCUGAUGGCUGUGCCCCUUCUAGGGCACAGCCCACAUCCAGUGACUGAUCAGUGGGGGAAGGUAGACAGGCCUGGCUCUUGCCUCAGCUGGGUACAACUCCGACGGCUACCCCAACUUCAGAGUUCCCUGUGGGGUCAGCUGAGGCCUUGUUGGGACUGCAGUGCAGCCCACCUUCUCCCCCUGCCCAACCCCGUUUCCUUCCUUCUCACAUAGGUGGUCACCCUGAAGGCGCUCCCUGGGAAACUUCUUGCACACUGUUCUCCAUCCCAGAGUCCACUUUCUGGGGGGGGGCACCCCCUGUGACAAGGAUGUUUUACAGGAUUAGCUGGGGGUUUGCAGAUUUACCCGCUGGCUUCCGUAAGUACUUUCAGUGUCUAUAAGAGGCUGGUGUCCCCAGAAGGAAUGAUAGGCAUUCUUGUGUCCUUGGCGUCAGUCAGCAUGGCCUGAAGCCUGGGAUCCAUCUGAUGGACUCUAGGCUCUGACCCAUUUAAAGGACGUUUUCUGCCACAAAGUUUUGCUAAACGUAUUUUUAGUAGGAAAGCCCAGAGUUAGCCUUUUCUUUGAAAAAAUAAUUUGCAGAUUAGAGGGCCUGACAGUCCAAGUUUAUUUUUAAGGUAAAUGAAGGAUAUCCUCUUUUAUAGUUUAACCCCUAAAGCACAAUCAAUGAUUUACAAUGCCUUGACCAAAGCAAACAGUGUGGUAAUGAAGAUAUUAUUACCUGGGACUUCCCUGGUGUCGGCCUGCCAAUGCAGGGGACACGGGUUCGAUCCCUGGUCCAGGAAGAUCCUA